rnacentral:ncRNA from 2 species
UACGGAGGGGGCUAGCGUUGUUCGGAAUUACUGGGCGUAAAGCGCACGUAGGCGGUUUCGCAAGUCAGAGGUGAAAUCCCCAGGCUCAACCUGGGAAUUGCCUUUGUUACUGCGAGACUAGAGGCCGGGAGAGGGUAGUGGAAUUCCCAGUGUAGAGGUGAAAUUCGUAGAUAUUGGGAAGAACACCGGUGGCGAAGGCGGCUACCUGGACCGGUACUGACGCUGAGGUGCGAAAGCGUGGGGAGCAAACAGG